AAGCCGGCCUCAUGCUACCUCUCUACUUAGCAUUUUGGUCUGCUGCCAUCUCCCUAUCGAAUGAUAGAGCGAUCAAUCGUUUAAUGAUCGUAUCAGAUCUCGGCUGGGAGAUUCUACGACGGGCGUACAUGACGAUGGUGGCGUAGACAGACGAGAGCGAACCGGACCAGAACUGAAUGAAUCAAUUUGGUUCCAGAGACGGAAUAUAGUCCACGCUUUAGCGAUGGGAUUUAUUGGGAUGGGAUAGAAAUUAAGCGAACCAAAACUAAUGCCGCACUUAAGUAGCCCUCAAAGUGAAACGAUUUCAAAUGAGCAAUGAAAACUCAAAAUUACCUUCCUUUUCUGUUGCAGGCAGAAGUUAUACAACGAAAAGAGAAAUCAAAUCAGAGCCCGAUUUUCAUGUGAGGGUAUAAUUAUACCCAUAGGAAAAAUACAAAAAAAAAAUCAUGUUAAUCAUCAAGUGAUUCAUGCACAUUCAACAACCAUUUUAUGCUCCCCCAAAAGAACAUUAAAUUAACCAUCAGUUACUACUACUAUUUCUGGUUUUUCCUUUCCAUAGUAGCGUUCCCUCCCUCAACCAAAGUUUCAUCUCUAGCCAAAACCCAUGCGUCACUUUCUUUCCACCCACCAUAACAGACAUAAGCCAACAACAGAGCGACGUCCAGAAAGCCACCGGAAACCCGCGAAAGAGCAGAACAGAACAGAAAGGAGGAGAAAUUAGAAUUCGAGACACGCGACACAAGUCCAUAUUUUACGAUGCCAUGUUCUCGUAUAUUGUAUAUCGAAAGUUCCUAUAAGACUGCUGCUCUUCAUCGAAUCGAGUUGAACAAACUAGAGUUGAGGUGAUUGCACUCGACCCUCCAUGAGACAGCUGUCAAUGGCACUCAACCUUCGCAGAUUAAGCGGCGGCAAAAAUAAAGGAACAGAACAAAAAAUAAUAGAUCAAGCAGCUGCUGCAUGGAUGCAUAUGCGUCUUUAUCGGCUAUUAUAUGACAUUAUGCUCAAACUUGACCGAUAUAGCUUAUCAUAGGAAAAAACCAGUGAGUUUUUAUUAUAAACCCCCCUCCAAUGAGGAUGAUAAGCAGAAAACUUAUGGCUGCAAAAACGGUUCCCAUCAAUUGAGUAGAUUGAAGAAAAAGACAGAUAAAUGCUUAUAGAGAAAGAGAUAGAAUGUACAGAAAUAGAGAGAUGGAUAAGAACUAUUGCGAUGGUGGAGGUGCAAUUAGACACUUCCGUAAA